GCCCUUGUGGCUCAGUGGUAGAGCACUCCCUUGGUAAGGGAGAGGUCGUGGGUCCGAUUCCCACCAAGGGCACCA
rnacentral:tRNA from 13 species